GAGUUUGAUCCUGGCUCAGACUGAACGCUGGCGGCAGGCUUAACACAUGCAAGUCGAGCGGUAACAGGAAAUAGCUUGCUAUUUUGCUGACGAGCGGCGGACGGGUGAGUAGUACUUGGGGAUCUGCCUGAUGGAGGGGGACAACCACUGGAAACGGUGGCUAAUACCGCAUAAUCUCUUCGGAGCAAAGUGGGGGACCUUCGGGCCUCACGCCAUCAGAUGAACCCAAGCAGGAUUAGGUAGUUGGUAGGGUAAUGGCCUACCAAGCCGACGAUCCUUAGCUGGUCUGAGAGGAUGAUCAGCCACACUGGGACUGAGACACGGCCCAGACUCCUACGGGAGGCAGCAGUGGGGAAUAUUGGACAAUGGGCGCAAGCCUGAUCCAGCCAUGCCGCGUGUGUGAAGAAGGCCUUCGGGUUGUAAAGCACUUUCAGUGGUGAGGAAGGCGUUGUCGUUAAUAGCGGCAACGAUUGACGUUAGCCACAGAAGAAGCACCGGCUAACUCCGUGCCAGCAGCCGCGGUAAUACGGAGGGUGCGAGCGUUAAUCGGAAUUACUGGGCGUAAAGCGCACGUAGGCGGCUUGUUAAGCAAGAUGUGAAAGCCCAGGGCUCAACCUUGGAAUAGCAUUUUGAACUGGCAGGCUAGAGUUUUGAAGAGGGUGGUAGAAUUUCCAGUGUAGCGGUGAAAUGCGUAGAUAUUGGAAGGAAUACCAGUGGCGGAGGCGGCCACCUGGUCAAAAACUGACGCCGA
rnacentral:rRNA from 1 species